rnacentral:lncRNA from 1 species
CCUUCUACCUUUCAUUUAAUAAUAAGUAUUUAACUACUAUCAAUAGAUCUAGUCGCCAUUGUUAUAAUCUUUGUAAAAUAUUAAAUCCACUUUCAUGCCAUUGCCGACAAAAAUAACAACCAGAGACCCUCCUUUUGUUUUCUUUUAGUUCUUUCUAAUUAACCACAUGGAAAAAGAAAAAAAAAGAAUUGCCACAGACACAAUCCUUUUAAAAAGAACCCUAGUGGCAAUAUUGUAUUCUUUUCCUCCUCAAUCAACAAAAGGAGAGGUAACUAAAAUUCACAUUGAAGACCAACAUAAACGCUGUUACUUUUGAGAACGAGAACAAACAGCAAUUUCGUUCCCGUCUUUUAAAAUCACAAAAGCUCAUAUUUGCAAAACCAGUACGUCCUCAACGUAACUCAACACCGAGAUAUAUAAUC